rnacentral:rRNA from 1 species
GGUGAACGCUGGCGGCGUGCUUAAGACAUGCAAGUCGAACGGCAGUCUUCGGACUGUAGUGGCGCACGGGUGAGUAACGCGUAACUGACCUACCCCAAAGUCGCGGAUAACGAUUCGAAAGAAUCGCUAAUACGUGAUGUGCUGUCAGAUUGUGUUCUGCCAGUAAAGAUUGAUUGCUUUGGGAUGGGGUUGCGUUCCAUCAGCUAGUUGGUGGGGUAAAGGCCCACCAAGGCGACGACGGAUAGCCGGCCUGAGAGGGUGGCCGGCCACAGGGGCACUGAGACACGGGUCCCACUCCUACGGGAGGCAGCAGUUAGGAAUCUUCCACAAUGGGCGAAAGCCUGAUGGAGCGACGCCGCAUGAGGGAUGAAGGUCUUCGGAUCGUAAACCUCUGAAUCAGGGACGAAAGACACUUCGGUGGGAUGACGGUACCUGAGUAAUAGCACCGGCUAACUCCGUGCCAGCAGCCGCAGUAAGAC